rnacentral:sRNA from 1 species
GCAGCUCCACGACUACUGCAGCCGACCGC